rnacentral:rRNA from 1 species
AGAGCUAACGCAGGGAACUGAAACAUCUUAGUACCUGCAGGAAGAGAAAAUAAAUGAAUGAUUCCCCUAGUAGUGGCGAGCGAACGGGGAACAGCCCAAACCAGUGGCGUCGCAAGGCGUGGCUGGGGUUGUAGGACCGCGACAUUGUAUGCAAAUCGUGAACAGAACACUUUGGAAAAUGUGACCAUAGACGGUGAUAGUCCAGUAUGUGAAGCGAAAUGCAGCAUAGCGGUAUCCUGAGUAACGCGGGACACGAGGAAUCCUGCGCGAAUCUGCCGGGACCAUCCGGUAAGGCUAAAUACUCCCGUGAGACCGAUAGCGAACGAGUACUGUGAAGGAAAGGUGAAAAGAACCCCGAGCAGGGGAGUGAAAUAGUUCCUGAAACCAUACGCCUACAAGCGGUCGGAGCAUCGUAAGAUGUGACGGCGUGCCUUUUGCAUAAUGAUCCUACGAGUUACCGUCACUGGCGAGGUUGAGUGUCAUGAGACACGUAGCCGCAGUGAAAGCGAGCCUGAAUAGGGCGCACAGUCAGUGGGGGUAGACGCGAAACCAAGUGAUCUACACUUGGCCAGGAUGAAGUCCCGGUAACACGGGAUGGAGGUCCGCACCAAUAAGCGUUGAAAAGCUUCUGGAUGAGCCGAGUGUAGGAGUGAAAGGCCAAUCAAACUUGGAGAUAGCUCGUACUCCCCGAAAGGCAUUUAGGUGCCGCGUCGGAUGGUCACCGUGAGAGGUAGAGCGACCGAUAGGACAAGAGGGCUUCACCGCCUAUCGAGUCCUGACGAACUCCGAAUGCUCACGGUCUGCAGUCCGGCAGUAAGGGGGCGGGUGCUAAGGUCCGUCCCCGAGAGGAGAAGAAUCCAGACCGCCGUCUAAGGUCCCGGAGUUCUGCCUGAGUUAGUCUAACGAAGUCUGGUCCCUAUGACAGCUAGGAUGUUGGCUUGGAAGCAGCCAUUCAUUCAAAGAGUGCGUAACAGCUCACUAGUCGAGGGUCCGGGCAUGGAUAAUAAUCGGGUAUAAGGCAGACACCGAAGGCGCGGGAUAGCAAUAUUAAAAGUAUCGGUAGGGGAGCAUACUCACAGCGUCGAAUGGUGUACGUAAGUUAUCCUGGAGCGGUGAGUAAAGCAAAUGUAGGAAUAAGUAACGAUAAGGAGGGUUAGAUUCCCUCCCGCUGUAAGACCAAGGUUUCCCGGGCAAUGCCAAUCAGCCCGGGGUCAGUCGGGUCCUAAGUCUAAGCCGAACGGCGAUGGCGAUGGCAGAGACGGUUAAUAUUCCGUCACUGCCGCAUGGGGCGAUGUGGAGACGGAGCAGUGAAACCACCGCGGGGCGACGGAAGUCCCCGUUGAAGAGUGUAGGUGUUGAGGAUGGCAGGCAAAUCCACCAUCCGAGCUGAACUUGACAGUACGGAGUCCUCUUCGGAGGAAUCUGAUAGUGUGGGUAAUCAUACUCCCGAGAAAAUCCGCUAAGCUUAACCCAUGCGGCACCCGUACCGCAAACGGACACACGUGGUCGGGUA